CAACCCUUAAGCCCUGUAGCUUAGCGUUGGGAAUCUACCCUGCAGAGGCGUAGUUCCCGAAAACCAGUGGCAGUGUUAGGUACACUCAUAGCGUAGUAAAUUUCUUCUCGCUUCUGCAGUGUCCCUACCUACUCGCCGUAAAACCCCCCUAUAUUUUUAGUGG
rnacentral:misc_RNA from 1 species